rnacentral:lncRNA from 1 species
AGCACACCACUUGCCUGUCAAGAAAAGAAAGCACCGCGAGCUUGCACAUGCACUCAGGGUAUCAAAACAAUUCAUUAAUCGAUCGGCUCCCAAUCAGGAGAGCAGAGCACACACAGCUAAUGACCCAACUAAUCAUGAUCCUCCACGCGCUAAUCUAAUCACCCAUCUUAAACUAAUCACGACCCGCCGCGUGCUUAACCUCUCUCUCGAAUUUUAUAUGAUGCGAUUUUGUUUAACUACGGAUGUACCGAGACGCAUUUUAGUGUGUAAGUCGAAUCAGAAGAAGCAGCGGUGGCACCUAACCUAAACCCCCAAAGAAGGAACCAGAAUUAACCGUCCGAUUAAAGCUGGCGUCCGAUCCGACCGUCGGAGAAGCCCGGCCCGAGGAUCCGACGGCCGGCGACGAGAGGAUUCGAAACGGUAAGUCAGCCGCUUCCCGCCCCGACCGGUGGGGCCAGCGUGUCAGACGCCACCAAACCCGCUAUAAAUAAGGCGUUGGCUUUUCCUCUCCCCAGUCGUCUCGUUCGUUCCCCCUUCCGCGAGAUUUCGCCGAUUUCUCGCAGAGAGGGAGGAACCAAACCCAAAUUCCCCCACCUCUUCUUCCUCCGAGGACGAAUUCCAAUUCGCGGGGGCUUCUUCUUCUUCUUCGCUACGCUAGCUUCCUGGUGGUUUCGAAUUCCAGGGGCCGGAAUCUCUUUCUCCGUUUCGUUUGAAUUUAUUUUCUGUGGGGGCGUUCGUUCGAGCUGUUGUUCUUCGGCGGGCGGGCGAGAUGAUGCUGGUGGCGAAGGAGUUCGGCAUCUCGCCACCGGCGGCGGCGGCGGCGGCGCCUCGGCGGAGGAUGGCGAGGGUGGCGCCGUGCGGGGGGUCGUCGCCGGUGGGGGAGCUGUGGCUGCGGACGCGCGGGGGAGGAGGGGGCGCUGCGGCGGCGGAGGGGGUCGGGAGCCACGGCAGCCACGAGAGCGAGAUGGACCUGGCCAUGCUCGUCAGCGACUUCCUCGAGAACGGCGGCGGCGGAGGGGCCGGCGCCGGGGACUCGCGCGGCAGCAGCGACAGCGAGAACGGACUCUCAGACCUCGCCCACCUCGCCGAUAAGAUCUCGGUACGCAUAUUCACCUACCUACCCUACUUUGCUCCUGUUGAUGUUUUGAUGCAGUUGGUUGAAUUUGUUCAACAUUGGACUGGAAUUACGCCAGUUAGGCGGCUGUUGACGUAAAAAAAAAGGUUGAGGGGGUCAAAUUAGUACUGUACUUUCUGAAGAUAUGAUGUGACUGCAUUUUUUUUAUUUUUUUGGAAAUCAUGUACCAGUUGCUUUCAUGUGAAUUGUCGUUAGUAUUUAUGUUGCUGCUUGCCUGUUUCUACAGAAUUUACUCCACGACCACAGUGCAGAAUUUGUGCAGUUGUUAACUGUCGUUUCUAUCAUUGCCUUUGAAGUUUUGAGUGCAUAUGAAUUGUCGUUAGGAUUUAUGAUAUAUCCUGGCCUGGCCUGGCAUGUUCUGUCUGAAUUCAUUCCAUGACAUAUAUGUCCUUGGCAUGUUUGGUCUGAAUUUAUUCCACGACCAUACUGCAAAACUUGAUAAUUAGCGUGCAUACUUGCAGUUAUAAUUUUAAUUGCUGUGUACAACUGUAAGGGUCUAAUAGUGUAGCAUUGAUUCGAUUUAGAUUGUACCGUCAAACUGUUGCAGCACACUGGAAUUAUACCUCUGAAUAAUGUGAAAAUUACUCCCGAGUAAAAAAUCAGUGGCCUCAUCAAGUCUGAUCCAGCUAUGUGCAAGUUACACUUUUGGCAGUUCCUAGUAGUUUUAGCCAACUUAAUGAUUGAAUAAAUUACUGUUAGCUACCUUCUGAUUAGUAAGCUUUGUAUGCCUGAACUUACGACUAUGCAUUUCAUUUCAGAUGUACAAGCAAGGUGGGGAUGAGAAAGAAAAUGAGCUGCUCUCUGUGGUCCACUCGCUGUUGUUCUCGAUCCAUGAGUCGGAGCUUCAGGCUUUCAUAAGAGGUCAAUGUACUGGCAGUUGCAUCCGUCAUUUACUUGUGAAGCUCUUGAGAUACUCUGGAUAUGAUGCAGCAGUUUGCAUAUCCAAAUGGCAGGGUUUUGACAAGAUACCUGGAGGUAAUCCACUCGAUGAAUGCUUACUGAUACUCUGUUUUUCUCUAUAAAUUGUGCUUGGUAACUAACAGGUUUUUUUAUUCCAAUUCAGGUGAUCACGAGUACAUUGAUGUCCUAAUGAACUGUGAUAUGAUGGGUCCAGAGCGUAUGAUCAUUGAUAUCGACUUCAGGAGCCACUUUGAAAUAGCAAGAGCAGUGGAUUCGUAUGGCACUCUGUUGGACUCGCUUCCAGUGGUCUAUGUUGGUACCCUUCCCAGGCUGAAGCAGUUCCUUCAUGUGAUGGUAGAUGCUGCGAAAUGGUCCCUGAAGCAGAACUCUAUGCCCCUGCCUCCAUGGAGGUCCUUGUCUUAUCUCCAAGCGAAAUGGCACUCUAAGUAUGAGAGGAAAUACUUACACUCUGAGCAAAACUUCCAAGGCACAGCCCCAGAUCACGCGCUCUGUGUUGGGCAUCUGAAGAGGCUGAAAUCAUCCCUGCAGUCAGAACUUGAUACCGGGAGAUUGCUCAUGAUGCCGAUCAAGACUGACACGACGAGGAGGGGAAAGUUUGAGAGGCGUCGGCGUUCCCUGCUCAGUUUCUGAUACAUAUCUGAACUUCUGGACACGGAAGAAUUUUUGAAAGAACAAAAGAGUAGCGAAAGGAGAGGAUUUGUUUUACAGGCUUUUGGACAGUUUAUGGGAAUUAGAUGAUGGGACACUAACAUGGCAGGAGAGUGGAGAUAAGAUGACAUGCCAGGUUUUUUUGAAGGCAUAUAUACAAAAAAAUACACAAAUUAUUUUUUGAUUUCAUUUUUGUUUUGUUUGGCGAAAGAUGGAUGCUAGUGAUGAAACCGCUGGCAUACAAGUGUACAACUGAGCGUUGUUACAAGUUUCCCCCCUCACAUUGAGUUUUGAUCAUACAGAUGUUCUCCAAUCUUUCUUGUAUUUUGAAACCCACGACCGAUACAUGCUGUUGGUUGGUCCCCCCUUUUUGUAACCGUGGCAAUGCGUAAACUUGAGUCGAUGUGUGUUUUGAAAUGAAGAAAUAUACUACUCCUACUAUGCUUUGCUUUAUUUGGUUCUGCACAAUAUGGUCAGUUAUAGUUUGAAAGACUGUUGUGGCUCGUGGGUUAAUGUAUCUUGAGGCAUUCUUUAAGCCUUUUUCAACCUCCAUAAAAGCUUGCGAUUUGAAAAAUGCGAGAAUCUUUCGAUGAGAAAGAAGUUGCACUGUGCGCGUUUUACAAACAAAAAAGGGAAAAGGUAAAGAAAGGGAAGAUUUGCGAGGAAAGAAAGGAACAUGAUGCACUUAGAAAAGAGCUGCAUACAAAUGGCAAAGACAAAGCUUGAUUCCCCUCCUUUUUUUUCCAGGCUGCUUUGCUUUGUCUAAUGAUCAUGAUGUUGUUGUCCAUUUGUUUUGUUUUCCGUUGAUCAAGUGGGCGCUCGGGCAGACAAAUCAUCAGUGAUGUAAGACGCGAAAUCGAGCUGGAUUAAACAAGUCGCUUUGUUUUUUUGCGAGGAAUAGAUUAAACAAGUUGCUGCUAGCCUCGGUUUGCAUGUCCAGACUGUCUGCCGGUGUUUGAGCUUUGUUUUCGCAAAGAGAAUUCUGCUUGGAUUCUGAGGAACUCACGAUGCAGGCGUGUGUGUGUUGGGCUGUGCAAAACAAUUGACCCAGCAGGAGUUGCUUCUUGCAAGCAUGAUUUCUGUAUGCUGAUGUGAGCAGUAAAUUAAGCAGGGUGGAGGAUUAAAUUGUGGAAAGCAUAAAGGAUCACUCCAUGACAGGCACGAAUAGAAAAAAACAGACUGGGGUGAGAGAGGCUCGAACUCUCGACCUCAGGAUCACUCAAUUUAGCUAUGAGACCUACGCGCUAGCCAACUGCGCCACCACCCCUAGUUGCUUACAAGGCAGUAUCUUACGUCUAUAUAAAUUGUUUAACAUUUUUAUUACAAAAAAUUGGUAGCCAUCCAUUUGGUCUGCUCAGAUUAUUCUCCAAAUUGCUAGAACAUUAUCAUAAUUCCCACACAUUUGGUUUUUGCAUACUAGGACAAAUUACUUACUUUCAGAUCAUUGUUUGCUCUCUCUUAUGCUUUCCAGAAUUUAGUCCUCCACCCUGCUUAUUUCUAGGACAAAUUAAUUACUUUGAGAUCAUUGUUUGCUCUCUCUUGUUCAGGAUAUAGUUACUUUGAGAUCAUUGUUAAUUUAGCACAAAAUUGGGUUUUUGCAUACUAGGACAAAAUAAUAUUUCUAAAAUUUGCUGGCCAUAAGCUAGCAUGCAACCACUCCAACCCAACCCAUCUACCGUCCUCCAACCAAACACAUCCAAGGUCUUGAGAGCCAAGUUUGUUGGGUUGUUCAAAGAAAAUUAAGUAGGAAGUGAAAGCCACUAGGAAUAAGGUUUAAUCACAUAUGAGAAAAUGACCACCAUAUAUUUUGAAUAAAAGAGAAAACGUGCACGACUGUGAUGAUUAAGAAACUAGCAAACACUAGAUCCAGAAAUGCAUCUUACACCCAAUGGGGAAACUAUUUUAUUUUCCUCUCAAGGGAAGCGACACGAGCUUUGCCUAUUCAUUAAGAAGAAAAAAAGGUCAACCAGUUUACGAGAAAAGAAUGGACAAAAAACCAAACUAGGCUCAGUUAAUUAUUCGCGAAAACUACAACCCAACUGAGCACUACAACCAUCGACACCGUACAAGACAGAGAGUCAGAACUCGAGGGAAGCGAAUGUAUAGGCUUCUCGGACUGCAUAUCUUUAUUGUUUAGUUUUCAUUGAUAAUGCAAACAGUCAACUUUACAGACUAGUUGUUGUGCUUUGCUAGAGGAACCUGCCACAUGCAACUAUUUUCUCAAAGAAUAAUGGGAUUGUUCAGCACAAACUAGAGCCAACCUUCCUGUAUAUGGUUUUGGAAAACCAUAUUGAUAACAAAAUGGUUUCGUGGUGUAGUUGGUUAUCACGUCAGUCUAACACACUGAAGGUCUCCGGUUCAAACCCGGGCGAAGCCAAAUUUGUUUUAAAUUUUUGUCUCUGAAAAAUAAUUUUUAAAAAAAAAAACUGGCCCAUGCAGGUCUCGAACCUGCGACCUUCGCGUUAUUAGCACGACGCUCUAACCAGCUGAGCUAAUGGGCCAAUUCUUGCUUACGGUUUUUACACAAACUUAUUUAAACUUUAGGUUUAAUCUGAAAAAAGCGUGUCGAAAUUGUAAGACUUUACUAGUUUCUUGCCCUCCUGAAAGUGGAUUUGAUGAUGAUGUGACAAACGUAUAUAUGCACUAUCUAUCAAGACGGCAUCUCUCCAGCCUGUCGUGUAUAUAUGCAGUUAGCGACCGGGCAGGGUAAAGGAUGAGAUAUCUCUUUCGAAUUUUGCAACCAAAUCUUACUCCUUGUUGCAUGUAUUAGGCGAGGACAUUAUAUCUCCAUGAAAAAAAAACACGUCUUUACCCUAUAUAUCACUCUCUUCUCUACCCGAUGAAAAGACGAGAGAACAUGUCCAACUAUACAUGACAAUUGUUGCUAAAAUGCGCGAGGAUAGAUUUUUGGUGACAUAGAAGAGAGAUGGAGAGAAAAAAAAGAAGAUAGAUGGAAAAAAAAGAGUGUGGCUGUUACUCUAGAGAGUACCUACCAUGUGUCAAUUAACAAUUUUGUAGAGUUUUUUGGAACGGGGUGAUCGUGAAACAGUCUAUUAGAGAGGUUUGUUUUUUAAAUGGAGGGAAAAACUUUGCUCGUCUCUUAUGGAUCAAGGAGUUAACAAACAACACACAAGACAACGAACAAGAGUAACAAGCCCUUACAUACAAGUAGUCCAAUAAAUCUCGUGGCACGAUGGAUCUUUGCAAGGUGGUUACUUAUUUGCACGGAUGUGUUCUUCCCUUCUCUUCUUAGUAACAACCUAGCUAGGCUAGGCUCUGAUUACCUGUCAAAAGAUAGAAAAAAAGCUAUGCUCUGAUAAAAUCAGUGAUAUUUAUCUGCACACAGGUCAUAGUCACUUUUGCAAUAAGAAAUAAAGUCAAGAGUUGCAUAGCCAUAGACCGAGCUUUCCACAGGGGGAACAAGAAUUGGCACUAUAUAAACCGGCACGCCAUAUAUACCCACCCACUUCCCUCUAUCAUGCACCUUUAUGCAUUUGUGCUUUCCUCAGAAAAGCAACGGCUGUUCAUGAUAUUACUCCGCCACAUUUACGUGCUCUCUUCAUAUUAAACUUUCGGAUGGAAAUUAACUGUACCUAAUUUGAAGCUUCACAGAAUUAUGAGGAAAGUCUCGCAUGCGUGUCCAUGGGUAUUUGCAAAGUUUCAUGAAAAAAUAAAUUACAAAAUAAAUCUCAAAUUAAAUUUAACAAGUGUCUAAGUGAUAUUUUCUUGAAAAUACAAAGCAAGAGAAAUAUUGUAUCCAGUGAUAACAAUAUAAUAUCAUGUACUCCCUACUGGGUUUCGCUAAAACCAAACAAACUUUGCCCCUGGCCACUGCAAGGUUUUUCUCAAUGACAUGGCGAUGAAUAAAUAAAUAACAGAUCCAUUUUUUAUUUUUUCAGCUCGUCUAGUUAGUUAAUAAUGCAUUCCAUUUUUUUUUUGCAUUCCUAGAUGACUAGAUCUUUCCUCCGUUGACUUGGAUUGUAAACAAGUAGUCACGAUUAUUUAUUCGAAAAGGAGGUUAAGUUGUCCCAAAUAAUAUAUGCUUGAAUUUUCUUCUUACAAUACCACGAGUUCCUUGCAAGAAAGAAACAAAAGGUAUGAUAGAAAGAAAGUGAAUCAAUCAAUCAAUUAGGUGAGCAUCGCACAGGGGCGCGGCCCCUAUCCUAUCCUUGUUAUUCCUCUUCCCCAAGCAGUGGUCCCUCUGUUGCCCACGUCCAUUCUUUGCCAAAGUGCAGCAUCUCAUGUCGUCUCCAUCCAUCUCUCUCAGCCUUCUCCUUCUUCUUCUUCUUCUUCCUGAUCGAUUGGCUAUAAAUAGCCCUGGCUGCCUUGCCAUUGUUCCUCAAGCCAGCAAGAAGCACACACAAGCCUAGAAGCCUUCAGCUUAAUCUUCUUCCUAAGCAAGUUCGAGCACUCGACCGAAGAUGUCUUGCUGCGGAGGAAACUGCAACUGCGGGUCAUCCUGCAAGUGCGGCAGCGGCUGCAACGGCUGCAACAUGUACCCUGAAGCCGAGGUCCAGACCUCCAGCCUCCUCGUCGUCGCCACCGCCGCCCACAAGGCGUACGUCAUUCAUUUAGAUCAUAUAUACUACUCCAUCCGAUACAUAAUAAGCGUCGCUGAUUUAUUAUUACAAUUGUCGUCAUGGAUGGUCUUAUAAAGUUUGGUUGUUGGAACAUAUGUGCAGGAGCUCCGGCGGGAUGGAGAUGGCCGCGGAGAACGGCGGCUGCGGCUGCAGCACCUGCAAGUGCGGCACCAGCUGCGGCUGCUCAUGCUGCAGCUGCUAGAUCUCAAUCUGCUGCAGCAGCUUAAUUUGCAUGCCAGGGACGCAUGCAACGACCAUCUACAUAUAGCUACUCGAUCUACCGCUACCAUGAACCGAUCCAAGGCUAGCUGCACAAGCUAGGCCCUUAUUUCCCUUUGUACGGGUGCAUGCAUGCCAUCCCAUGCCAUGCUUGUAACCCCCCAUAAAUAAAAUCGCCCUGGUUUAACUAUACAUGCACGUACGUGUGUGUUAUCUCUGUGAUCAUCGUCUUAACUAUUACUAGCAAAAGACCCGUGCGUUGCUAUAGAACAACAGAAAAUUGUAUCAGAAUGUCAAAUUAAUUGCCUCAGGCUCAUCCCAUCGCUGUCCAAGUCCUGUGUGGAGCCACCGGUACGCACGAGCCGGUGGAGGCGGCGCAGCCGCCUUUCUCACAUGGACGGCGCCGACGCGCACGAGCUGGUGGAGACGACCAAGAGCGGCGGCGGGCACCGGCGAGAUCCCAAGGGAUAGUAAUUACUGUGCCCGCGCGUUGCUACAGGUCAAUAAAAUCACAAACUGUUUAUUUUUAUUUUCUGUGUAGGCAACUCAUGGCGCUGUCGAGGUCGGCAUGCGGGUGUGGUGGCGUCGGUUGUAAGAUGGAGUAGAAAAAAUCGUGAAAAAAACUGGAGGAAAAGAAAAUAAUGGACAGUAGCAUAUUGGUGAAAAUAACGAGUAGUGACAUAUUGGUUGUAAUUUUAACGAAAUUAACCUACGUCGACCACGACUGUACCAUCACCACCAACUCCAAUUUAAUAACGAAGUUAACCUACGGCGACCGUGACCGCGACCGUACCAUCACCACCAACUCUAAUUUAAUAACCCAAUUUAAUAGAUAGUAAUUCUCACAUGGAACAACGGAAAGUGUAUCAAGCACGAGCCGGUGGAGGCGAAGUCUGGACAUUAAUUUUUUGAUUGGAUUGAUUUCCAUACUGAGAUGGAUACGAAGAAUUUUGGAUUUCAUGCUAAGGAGAUUGAUUUAUUUUAGGAUUGUUCGUAUUAUGUUGUGACAAAUUUGGACCGUACAAUAACUUUCGGUAAAUCUAAACCGUAGAAUUUCUGCUACUGAAAUCAUGAAUAAGACGGGAGGAAAAAAAAAUAAGGGGCAGUGGCAUAUUGAUUGUAAUUUUAACAAAGUUGACCGACCAACGGCGCCCACCCAUCACCACCGGUUCUAAUUUAAUAUAUUGUAAUAGAAUAUAUUGUAAUAGAUCAGUUAAAUUCUAACAAGGGAGUUCUAAAAUUAGUUCUGCUCAAGAGAAGAAUAACCUAAGCGAAAUCCAGAUCGAGGACUGUUUGCACAUGGAAAACAUGGAAAGUUAAUUUCAGUGGAGAAUGCACGAGACAUGCACGCACGCUAAGCCUAAGCUGAUGCAAAAUUAGACUGCCAAGAGUUUUCUAGCUUAAGUGUAAUAAAAAGACCCUGGACAAAAGAGAAAAGACAAACGUGUUUCCCUUUACGUAGUUUUUGUUAACAGUUGAAGGAAAGGAAAAAAAAAUAGAUGCAUCUGUUGCUUUCAACCGUUGGUGUCGGCGGUACGUCAUCUUUUAGAACCCUGCCACCUGUUGAUUCUGUACAAACCACUAAAAUUCGAACGAGUAUGAAUUAUUUAAUCCGAGGCAAUUCAUACAUGCUCCUAGACCGGACAUGAAAACCACUGUCCUAACUAACUAAGAGAAUGUGCACUGUGUUGUCCUUGCGAGGUUUAUUGUCCUUCGAAUCUUCACACCAUGGUGAAUCAAGUGUAAAAUUUAUGUGUAGAAUACAUACGGAGUACUCGUUUUUUCAAUUUGAAGAGUACAUUUAAAAUGAAAAAUUGAGAGGAUGUCUUUCUCAAAAAACAAAUUGAGAGGAUGUAAAUGUAAAGUGAGCUCUCACUACUCUUCUUCUCCGCUGGGGUCACUCCCCAAAGAUAAGCAAACGCGAGCUCUCCCCCAUGCCCGCCGCCGUCACCGUCCACCUGGCGCCGCUCCCCAAUCACCCACCAAAACAACCUCCGCUGCCAAAGCCCAACGCCGCCUCGCUCCCGCAAUGGAACGGGCUCCUCGCCGACCUCUCCCGCGCCGGCCGCCACGCCGACGCCCUGGCCAUCCUCCCGCGGCUCCUCGCCGCCUCCGACGGCGUCGCCCCCGACAGGUUCACGCUCCCUCCCGCCUUAAAGUCCUGCCGCGGCGACGACGGGCGCCAGGUCCACGCGGUCGCCGCCAAGCUCGGCCUCGCCGACGGCGACCCCUUCGUCGGCAACUCCCUCGUGUCCAUGUACGGCCGGUGCGGCCGCGUCGACGACGCUGAGAAGGUGUUCGAGGGAAUGGCGGGCAGGAACCUCGUCUCCUGGAACGCGCUCAUGGCGGCCGUCGCCGACCCGCGGCGCGGCCUGGAGCUGUUCCGGGACUGUUUGGAGGACCUCGGCGGCACGGCGGCGCCCGACGAGGCGACGCUGGUGACGGUGCUCCCGAUGUGCGCCGCCCUCGCGUGGCCGGAGACCGGCAGGGCGGUGCACGGCCUCGCGGUGAAGUCCGGGUGGGACGCCGCGCCGCGGGUGAGCAACGUGCUGGUCGACAUGUACGCCAAGUGCGGCGAGAUGGCCGACGCCGAGUGCGCGUUCCUGGAGGCUCCGCCAGGCGCCGGGAGGAACGUCGUGUCCUGGAACGUGAUGCUCGGCGGGUAUGCGAGGAACGGCGAGGCUGGCGCGGCAUUUGGGCUCCUCCGGGAGAUGCAGAUGGAAGAGCGUGGCGUGCCGGCAGAUGAGAUCACCAUGUUGAGCGUCCUGCCGGUUUGUUCGGGGCUGCCUGAGCUGGCGAAGCUGAGGGAGCUGCACGCCUUUGUGGUCCGGAGAGGCUUGCAUUUGACCGGCGACAUGGUGCCGAAUGCGCUUAUCGCAGCCUAUGGGAGAUGUGGGUGCUUGCUCCAUGCCUGCCGUGUCUUUGACGGCAUCUGCAGCAAGAUGGUCAGCUCAUGGAACGCGCUCAUCGGCGCGCACGCGCAGAACGGCGAAGCGAGCGCCGCAAUUGAGCUGUUCCGUGAGAUGACCAAUGCUUGUGGGCAGAAGCCUGACUGGUUUAGCAUUGGGAGUUUGCUCCUGGCAUGUGGCAAUCUGAAGCACCUGCUCCAUGGCAAGGCAGCUCAUGGAUUCAUCCUGAGGAAUGGACUGGAGAAGGAUUCCUUCAUCCGGGUUUCGCUUCUCUCUGUUUACAUCCAAUGCGGGAGGGAGUCUUUGGCUAGAGUCCUGUUCGAUGCGGUGGAGGAAAAAGAUGAGGUUUCAUGGAACACCAUGAUCGCCGGUUACUCACAGAACGGAUUGCCCGGUGAAUCCCUCCAGCUCUUCAGGGAGAUGCAAUCCAAGAAAGGAGGCCACUGGCCAUCACUGCUUGCAGCAACAAGUGCCUUGGUGGCUUGCUCAGAAUUACCAGCUGUUCGACUAGGGAAGGAGAUGCAUUGCUUUGCCCUGAAAGCCGACCUCUGCGAGGAUUCGUUUCUAUCCAGCUCAAUCAUAGACAUGUACUCAAAGUGCGGAUCUGUGGAUGAUGCCAGGGUGUUCUUCGAUCGGUUGAAGGCGAAAGAUGCGGUUUCAUGGACGGUGAUGAUCACCGGGUAUGCCGUCAACGGUCGUGGGAAAGAAGCUGUUGGGCUGUAUGACAAGAUGGGGAGGGAGGGGAUGGAACCUGAUGGAUUCACCUACCUUGGCCUACUGAUGGCAUGCGGCCAUGCUGGAAUGUUAGAAGAUGGAUUGUGUUUCUUCCAGGAGAUGAGAAACCUUCCCAAAAUUGAGGCAAAGCUAGAGCAUUAUGCUUGCGUUAUCGGCAUGCUGAGCCGAGCAGGGCGCUUUGCCGAUGCCGUGGCGCUUAUGGAGGUGAUGCCAGAGGAGCCUGAUGCCAAGAUACUGAGCUCCGUGCUCUCUGCCUGCCACAUGCAUGGAGAGGUAGAGUUGGGGAAGAAGGUUGCUGACAAGUUGCUUGAGCUUGAACCCCACAAGGCUGAGCACUAUGUUCUCGCCUCCAACAUGUACGCAGGAUCCAGGCAGUGGGAUGAGAUGAGGAAGGUGAGGAAGAUGCUCAGGGACGCCGGUGUCGCCAAGGAGCCAGGCUGCAGCUGGAUCGACAUUGCAGGCAAGGUGUACAGCUUCGUCGCCGGGGAGAAUUCACUCCCGGAGAUGCACAAGGUGAGGAAGAUGUGGUACUCUUUGGAGGAGAAGAUUCGCGCUGCCGGCUAUGCUCCUGACACCACGGUCAUGCUGCACGAGCUGGAGGAAGAAGAGAAGGUAGAGGCUCUGCGAUGGCACAGCGAGAAGCAGGCCAUCGCGUUCGGGUUGCUGAGGACAGCCGGGCCGACGAAGGUGAGGGUGUUCAAGAACAUCAGGAUGUGCAAGGAUUGCCACAAUGCCGCCAAGCUCAUCUCCAAGGUAGCAGACAGGGAGAUUGUGGUCCGGGACAAGAAGAGGUUUCACCAUUUCAGGGACGGGCUAUGUUCCUGUGGGGAUUACUGGUGAAUUAGAAGGGAAUGCAAAUUCUUUUGCAUUUAAACGUUGUACAGAAUUGUAAAAGGUAGAGUUCAGGAACAUGGUAUGCAAAGGGAUACAUCCAAAUUAGCAGCAAAACUGUUUUUGAACAUUCAAAAGAAAUUCCUUUGGUCCCGCUACACCAUUUACACUUGCUCCAGCACGAACCUACGAAUCAGAUGUGUUGUCUGGAAAUGCAUUGACAAUGUUUACUUCCAGAUAGCAAUUACACCAGCAUUUUAACAUCUAAGCUUUUACCCCCCAAAAAACAUCUAUGACUAUGUUACAUACGAUGGAAAGGCAGGUAAACUAAACAAACACACAAUACAAACUAUCAUUAUCGAUCCGAGCAUGCCUCAGAAAAAAGAGUUGUGCUGGCUCGAUCUCAAGUCUUGGCACUGCAUUAGAAAACUUGUAGGAGUUGCAUUUAUCAACACCAUCUCAUCCUAACUCAUUCAUCACUUCAUUGAGAUAGUCAUGACGGUGGGAUGUUUAUAACCAGAUGAUCUACAACCCAUCCUGCAAUUGGCAGUGACCCCCAGCUGGAUGAUCUACAACCCAUCCUGCAAUUGGCAGUGACCCCAGCUGGAUAAUGGUUCAAUUGUUCAGAUCCAAUAAAGAAUAAAGAAAUUCAGAAGCAUGUGCAUGCAUCUGGUAGAAGCGGUACUUUACAUGAUCCACUCAUACAUCUGUAGAUUUAUCAAAACCCGUUAGCAAGCUCAUCAAGUACAGAGAGAAAGAGGAGUGGGAGCUGGUGAGUCAAGAUGGGAGACUGAAGUUUGACAGCACUCACCUUCUUUAAGUUUGGAGCAGAGAAGCUCAGCUACAGAUUCUUCUACACUAGGUAUGGUCAAUAGUAGCAAUUCUUACUGGAAGCUUUGUACAUUGAAAUGUCAAGCCAGAGUGGUUACUGAACUCCUAGAUCAUUUGACAACUGCAAUAUCCCGCGCAUUUGAAGGUAUGGAUUCUCCAAAAGUUUUUCAUUGUUACACUGAAGACAACAUAAGUAGCAUCAGUGCCAAAUUAAUUUAUGAAGGGAAUUAAAUUUAUUAUCGAGCUUGAACUGCCUGAACAUAUCAGCACGAGGUAAUCUAGAUAACAGAUGCAUAUAAACAAGAUCCCUGUACCUUUCCAAAAAAAUUAAUUUAAAUUUCACCCUGAUGAGAUGAGAAAGGCAAGGAGCAUUACCUGUUGAGCCUUUGAAAUGAGACUUUGAAGCAUCCGUUGGUAGAUCUCUGGUUCUUCUGUCAUCAUCCUCUGUACAUCCAAAUUUCAUUAGCGAGAAGUGCAAUAGAACUAUCAGCAAGAAAUUAACAACUGCAACAGGCAUACCUUCAAAAGAAAAGCAGCAGAAUAAUAUGCUACCCUUGAGUCUGUAUCAUCUAGAAGCCCCCUAUUGGUGUUGGGUGGAGAAAGGACAAAUAUCAAGCAUUAGCUAUGCACGACACUUUAACCGACAAAGAUAUGCAGCUUAGAAUAGACUACCUGAAGAACUCAUUGCCUUCAACUUCCUUAAGUGCUUCCUGAUCCGCUGUGCAUUUCCCAAUCAAAAGCAAAAGAAGGGCCGCUCUAAUAUCUGAUGUAGCGCCAGGAAUAUUGCCUCUACCUGUGCUACCGACAGCAAUACCCAAUGCAAUAUCAUCACUGGCAGCACCUUCAAGUUGCAUCAAUGGCCAGAAAAACAAUGAAGUUGGUACACAGGUUACAAGCUGCAUCGGAGCUAUUGCAAGACCUCUCAGAAGUAGUGCUGCCAUUGAUGUUUCACACAACAAAGUGGAUUGAUUAUUCAUGCUUAUAUCUUGCAAUGUCUCAUUCCUGCAAAGGUUCUUGGUUCCUGUAUUUUGGUGCGAUGCAAGGGUUUCCAAAGGGCUCUCAAUGUUCUUAGUUGUACAACCAAAAAGUUGACCAAGGGAUUGAAGGCCUCCCAGUUGUAUCACAUUCGUGGACGGAAGCCUCAGACAUAAUUGUGAAAACAACAUGUCACACAUCUGUAUGAGGAAAGUUCAAAUUAGAGAGGAUUAAAUCAUAAAGCUCAAGAGUACUACUGGUUGAUAUAGACACGUCAUUCCACAUCCAACAUGGGAUCCAAGAGGUAAACAACUACCUUCAGAACUUAAACUGGCUGUAGAACAACUUGCUUUUAGCAGUUAAACUGGACAUUCAGUUUUUAAUCAGGGGAGUCAGGUACAAAAUUAAUUUCAGUUUUUGCAGGUAGAAAUUGAAACUUAGAAGCCUAUGCUUUGUUUCAGUUGCCUACGAAUAUCAACAAUGAGAUCUUUCUAAGAAUCCGCCAUCAAGUUCUAGCAUGCAAGAAUAUUGACACUAACACACUAAUCCUUAUUGCUAAACGGAAUAAGCACAACGACCAAGCAGGUUCAUUGCUGUCAAUGAUUACAGAUGUCCACCCCAUUAAAAACUAAGAAAGGCUGCCGGUCAGUAACAAGUUCACAACAGAAAGCAACAUGCCAGCCUGACAGCAGAAACUGCUAACUGGGAACUUUAUGGGUCGUAAUCAGUAACAAGGAAUUGUCAACAAUGAGAAAAAAUUACGAUGUUACUAGUUUUUUUCUAAAUAUAAAUAUACCAUACAUUGCCUCUUGCAAACUUUUAGUUGUGAACUUUCACUUUUUUAAGGCAACUUUAAAAUAAACAAUUAAGGGUAGCUUGAAGCACAUACGCCAAAUGCCUGCUGCACUUGGGUGAAAGAAAUUCACCUUUAAGAUGUUGAUAUGGUCUGUCUCAUUAUUUUGAACCACGAGUAACAAAGCACUACUCAUAAUAUCUAUAACCACAAAAGCUUUGUCCAGACGAUUUUUGCUAUGAUAAGCAACUGAUUGAUCUUGCAUGUCACUGUCAUCCAAUAAUAAUUUGCAGCGCAUCAGAAAUUUCUCUAAAACAUAAAGAAAUCCCCAUCUAAUGAAGUUGUGUUUUGAUUUCAGAAGCCCACAUAGCAGACAAACGGGCAGUGAAACUUCUGAACAUGAUACGUCUUGGCUGCCAGCCACUUUAAUUUCCACUUGGAGCUUUUGGACUUUAGACCAGAUAGAGCCAUCUGUUUCUUCACUAAUUUCCGAGAGGAGCAAUUCAACUAACCAAAUAUAUCCAUGGUGCCUAUAUGAUGAGAUUUGUGAGUGAAGAAGCGAGUGCAAAGUAGCCCAGCAAAGCCUUGCUCUAUGUGCAAGAUCACCAUCUUCACUUCCCUCUUUAAUGCUGCUGAAACACUUGAAGGAUUUUGUUACUUGGAUCAUGUAAGUAAACUCAUUGUCAAUCCUUGAAAAUGUGCUGACAGUUGCAUCAAUUUUCCCGAUAACCUUUUCUAGAAGCUACAAGUAUUGAAUUUUUUUAUCAGAACAAACACAGUAUUUCAAAGCGAAUAUCAACGUAUAUUGCCGUGGUUCGAGACGAAAACAUAUACUGCAGUUUUUAUCAUGAAAUGAAGUCAAAUGAACAUACUAAGUGUGAAUAGCAGAAUGUUGCACGAUCUACUCGGUUAAUUAAAUUAACAAUGGGGAUUCUUGGUGAUGACUACCGCAUGUUUAUGUGCACGCGUACAGACCUCAGUUGAGAUACACAUUAUAGAGUUGAUUACUGGAGCCCUCAAUGUUGUGGAUGCAACUUACAAGCAAUGCACAAGUUCAAACAUGUUUUCAUAGUUAAUUUAUUUGGUAUUAGGUGUUGAUACUCUUUUGUAUAAACUUGGUCAAACAUAAAAAAAGUUUGGCUUCGAACAAAAAUUAUAUGAUUUAUAUUGUGGGAAGGAGGGAGCAACUAUCUACUCUUAGCUUCAUAAAGAGCUGGUUGUGCUCAAUCCACAUUUAUCACAUACUAGUACCAUAUAGUAACAUAUAGUCAAAGGCAUAUUACCACAUUUAAUUGCUCGUAUUCUGCUGACUGUGAUAAUGCCGCAGAUAUAGCUUUUGUCAGCAUGUCCCCAACACCUUCAACGCCAUGCUUCACGGAUAUAUAGAAUGCCUCUGGGGCAUCAGCAGAUGCAAGAAGGGAGGCGAGGGGCUGAGCAUCAUCAUAAGUAUAUGUUGAAAGACUGCCAGCCAAGCAUGUUUCAUUUAUCUGAUGCAGUACGUAAUCAAAAAGGACAAAGAACAAAUCCCGCUUCUCUUCUGCUGAGUUAGCUCGUGAAUACUGUAAAUGACCAGAAAUUGCAUUUAUUAAUAACUAGACAUAAUAUUGUGGAAAUGCCCAUCCUGCUAUCCACAUAAGGGUCACUAGAUGCAGAAACAUUUGUUAUUUCACGAAAAAAUUCCUAUCUAUGUUGAGCUAUUGCCUGAGGUUUGAGGAGCUUGGAACAAUGGACAGCACAGCAUGCUGAACUGGGGUUCCGAUUGCAUAUGGUUGCAGUCAGCAAUCGCAACCAGGAUAGUCAAUCCUGUCCAUUCCGGACGUUUGACCAGAAAUUGAGACAAACCAAUGUUGUAUUUGGCCUCUCAUUUUAUGGAACAGAAUGGGAUAUUCCAGAUAGUACUGGAAUGGGAUAGAUAAGGUUAGCUAGCUAGGACAUGACAGUGAUGCGCUAGUGGAGACUGACAAUUGAACAGGUGAUCCAUAUUCCUAUGGAUCUUCGGGUCUAUUGUUCACUUGUACUUUCUGCACAACUGAGAUAGCAAGAUGAUAAUAUGUUACAGUAGAAUAGACAAAGUGCUCAGCUGUCAACAUCCAUGCAUGAAACAGCAAAAUCCAACUAAAUAUAAGGGUAAUACCUCAAGACAGAUAUAGUCAACUCCACCAAGAAGAUCUAUCCGUUCUGGAGCAAACUGUGUAUCAAGGGCACUGCUCUGAGUUUCAUCUGUUACUUGGUACAGCAUAUUUGUCAGCAUGCAAAUGAGCUUACUGUGCACUACUUUUGCCCAUGAAUGUUCCACACUAAUCUCAAGAAGAGUUUUAACAACCUGCUCAUGAUUAAAAAAAAAAAGGCAAAUAAGUUCUCAGGCCCUUGUGAGCAAGAAAUAGCACAAUUUACAUCUUUUAGAAACCUUUCGCAGACCGAGAUCAAACUGGCUUAUCAUAUGUCAAAUAUAUGAGAAAAAACCUGACUACAUGCAUCAAAGCCAUAAAGAAGCAGAAGAAGCAGUCCAAGUGCAUUUCACAGCCUGCUAUGGCAGAAAAAUCUUAUGCUGGAAGCCUGGAAUACCAUUCUACACCAAGAUAUCAGAAACACGUCAACAAGACGACGACAACAAUAGCAAUAAUCUACUAAAACCUGUAAUUCAGUAACGCUGCUAGUUGUUGUUUUCAUUUUUCAUUAAUACAUUUGCGUAAUACACAAAUACUCCCUCCGAUCCAUAAUAAGUGUCUCAGAUUUUGUACUAACUUAGUACAAAGUUGUACUCCCUCCGUCCCAUAUUAAGUGACGGAAUAUUACAUGUAUCUAGACGCUUUUUGGGUAUAGAUACAUCCAUAUUUGGGCAAAUUUGAGUCACUUCAUAUGGGAAGGAGGGAGUACUAAAUCUGAUACACUUAUUAUGGAUUGGAGGGAGUAGUGGAAAACAAAAGUGUACGUGUAUUGUCUAGUAAGCUGAAAUUCAUAGUGCUCAACUGAUAUAUGUUUAGCUUGAAUGAGACAUAAAAUGUGUACAGUUUGAACUACAACUCCAAUAUUCACCAUACCAAUCUUCAGCACUUAACUUCUAUAUAGUCCAAAGGCACGUGAAUAACAGGAUUGAAAAAAUGGGAACAGAUAGAGUCCAAGCACACUGUUCAAGAGAAUGAGUACAUAAACUCAUAAAGAAAGAUGUGUUUCUUUACCCUUAUGUCCAAACCUCCAAGUCUGCUCCGGAUGAUUUUCCCUCCAUCGCAAACAAAGUAAAACAGACAACUUAAAGCUGAUGCCCAUACUAUCUCUUGUCGCUCUUCCAUCUACAAAACCAAGAAGAUCAUAUAAAGCUAUCAUAUGUAUCAGCCUAGCAUAAAUAGGAGCUGUCAGUGAAGAACUUAAAGAUGUAGAAAAAUAUUAGAGGCCUAAAUGAAUACGAAAUUCAAUAUUCUAACCACCUGAACUAAGAGAAGAAGAACUUCAAAUAGUAUUUUCAGAAGCCAGGACUCAAACUGAUCGAUAGCAGGGCUAAACUGAUCGAUAGCAGGGCUAAUCCUCUGCUCUUCUUCAGGUUCUGCUGCCUUCUGUUCAUCCAUACUUGGUCCGUACUCGUUCAGAUAAGAGUUAUUUGCAGUUUCACCUUUUUCAACAGGUGGUGCGUUAUAAACUAUCAUAGGCUCCAGCAGGUGCGCAUGAAUCCCAAGGUUUAGAAUAAGAUCAAAAGCCUUUGUUCUUGCAGGCGAUUUUUGAGAGCUCAGCAUACCCUGGAACAUAAAAAAAUAUUAGAAAUAUUUCACAUGUUCCUUUUUGGGAUGCAUACAUGUAAAGAGUAUAACACCUCGAGCAUAUAAAGUGUCAGAGGAGCUGCAGCCUCAGGAUCCAUCAUAUACCUGAACCAAACAAAACAUAAUCAUUAAAACACAAAACAACUGUAGUUCUAUGGUUUCAAAGGUAGUUUUAGCACCAAAUCGAGAUAAGUAUAGUUUCUACGAUUUUGAGAAAAACAUUUGCUCACAUGUCACAUCUUGCAAGAAUUGUACUUUGAUGCAUAAACCUCUGCACCAUUACAAUGUAACUAAAUUACUGGAACCACUUAUUUUGGUAAAAAGAACUAUGGUAAACAUGGAAAUCUUUAGUACACAUACAUCAGCCCAAAAAUAGAAGUUAAUAAUUACAAAAGCAAAGCAUCGAGCAAGCUGACAACACAAGAAAAAAAACACAUGCUUAUACGAUAAAAUAAAUAGCAGAACAAUAUGCAAUUCAGACAAAUAAGAAUAACAUGGCAGAUCAUGUCACUUAGAGAUUUAUGUAUUAAACUAUACUAUCAGUUCACAAUGGUUCGUGAGGCCUGAAAUCUGCAGUAAUAAGAGUACUACCUCUAAUGGAAGCAAACAGCAGAUUAAAAAAUAACGAAAAUAUGCCAACACAAUUCCAGGGGAAAAAAAAUCUUGAGAGCAUUCAUCAAUCUGUGAACUGGACAAAGAAUGAAAAAGGGUGUAAGAUUAUAUACAUGUCAAUGACGAGUUUAAUGAGGACACUGAACGCCACAUCCGCUGAAGGUUGCCGGCUCUGGGUGGUCAAUCUUGAUGGAGCAUUGAACUGAUUUGCAUUUGAAGUUAUUUCUGAACAAACUUCAGCUAUGACUUCAGAUAUUUCAGCAGGGUUCAAUCUUAAGGGUUGCUGCUCACUAUUGAACAAAGGUACCACAAUGAGCAGCCAAUGCAUGUAAGCACAUUGUUAGACAUGAUCGUAAGUUCGUAACACAUUCAUAAACACGUGAAACUCAAGCUGAAUCAUGGUAUCCCUACUAUCUAGCUAACACUAGUACUAAAUGGUUUCACUGGGGCUUAUUGUAUGACGUACUAUAAAUGGACAAAUGUUUCACAGAUGGAAAAUGAGAGUUAUGUGACAAAAUACAAUUUUGAAUUUCUAUACUGCCUUGUUAACGAAGUACAGAUUAUUGUCAGAGCCCCAUCACCAUCAAAAUGCAUGUCUAGCUAUUUUUUUUCUUCUUUCUCUAUAUCAUGGUUGUGAUGGUAGAAAAUUGGUUCAGCCAUAAUUAACUCAGGAUAUUUCAAGUUCAGUGAUGCAACGAUGAUUUUACAAAGUACAUUUACACUUCAAUAUAUACAGUCCUGUACAAAAUGCUAUGCUAGAUCCUAGAUUAUAUGCAAAGUAAAUAAAUGAAAUAAGGAAAUACCUGUAGUGCCUAUACUGAAAAAGGGGGCGUGCUCGAGGCUGGUAUGUGUUUGCAGGUAUGUUCAUCCUACAAAAGAGUAGAUUUUUCCCCAUGUAAGACCUUUUCUAUUCAUUUUAUUAAUCUCAAUAAUUUAACAGCUUCGCAAUAAUGACUUUGUUCAUAAUGAUAUGUCAACACAGACAAAAAAGUUUUUCUCAAAAUACAAAUUUCAUCAAGUUCACAACUAGAAAUAUCGACUACACUAAUGGGAAGAAAAUUUUCAUAUGAGCAAACUUUGAACAGCAUUUUAAAAGUCAAGAUAACCUUCUCAAAAAAACUGGAAAGGAAAAGGGACAGGGAAGGGAAGGAGGAAUGUGUUUGAAGCAUGCAAGGAAACCUAUGCUAUCAUCACAACUUAGUAUCGGUAUACAUGAACAAAAAAACGUACCAAACUUGACUUGGGCCCGAUUUCAUGCGUUUUGAGGCGGUUAUUGCUUUCAAAUGACCCUGUGAUGAAGCAUAAGUACUAGCUGUAGAAGUUGAAGGUUGCAACAAAUCAAUAUCGGGAAAUUCCUGGAUAACAGAAUAUUUCCAUUGUUGAUCAUUGAUCUUUGCCUCCAUAUCUCCUACUAGAAGGGCUGCAGCACCAACUUCAAGAAAACCCUGUGUAUGAAAAUCUUGAAGGCCUGCAAACUCAUUGCUGGUGAUAAAGGAAACAAACAAUGCAGUCAGUGUUUGCAAGACUAUUAGUAUCAUACUUCUAAAUUCCAUUCCAGCCAGAAUGACUGGGAUGCUUCAUUCCAGCCAGAGUGACAAGAAAACCCAUACAAAACACUGACCUUAAACAAUAAGCACAAGAGAAAUACCUUUCUUUGGCAGAAUUCGAUGCUUGUCGUUCACCAUGUACAUGCCAUCGCCAGUUUAAAAUGUCAAAGGAUAUAUACUUGAUAUCAUACCCAUGCUCUCCCCCAUCAACCUUUUCGCUUGCUGAUGAUAUUAAAUCGGAAGGAGUAUGGCUUUCCUUUGAUUCAAGAUGUUCUCUGUUGGUAAUAACUUCUGGAGUCAACUGAGACACUAAGGACUUAUUCAAAAAUGACGAAAGUGAAGGAAGUGAUUGUUUUGUAGGAUUUGAUAUAACGGAUUGAGGGAAUGACAGCUUUGGAAUAUGCCUUGCAACUAACAAGCGGACAUAGUUUAAAGAUUUCACAAGAGACGCGGAAGCAAAGUUUGAUAUUGGUGGGGCAGCAUGAGAGGAAUUUGGCAAAGCCGCUGAUGAUACAAGAGUCUGGCCAAAUGAUGAUGUUCUGUGACUUGCCACCGGGUCAUACUUUACUAUUGUAUUUGCACAAAAGAGAUCGAUCUGACGUAGUGUCUGCACCCUUGGAAUAUACCUUGGAAUGCAAAAUUGUAUAGUGUAUUAGUGUUAGUGCAAGCAAUUUUCGAGAAGAAGUACAGUACUCUGGCAAGGGACACUCCGCUUACCUAAUAAGAUAUCUCUUUAACAAUGCCACACAUCUUGGGACAACCGCUGGGCUGGUUGAAAACAUUGUCCAUGUUAGGAAAAGGAGUAAAAUCAUACAUAUUCUAUUUUAAGAAGCACCAUAGAAAAUGCAGAUCAAAGAGUCAAGAUGCACCAAUAAAUUGUGAAUAAUUUCCCUCUCCGAUUUCUAUUAAAGAAACCAGGGUUCUACAUGAGAAUAAUUCCAAGUAUUCCAUAUUUUCAUUCGUUUUGAUUAUGCCAUAGAGGAACAAGCAAAAUAAUUGGAGCUUAUGACUUACGACACAAGGCUAGAUAAGUUUCUUAAGAAUAAUGCAGGAGCUACAUAUAAUCCACAUAAGCGCAAUAUGGUGGACAAUCAAAAGGUAUUCCCCCCUUCUAACUUAAAAUGGAGGGGGUGGGGGGGGGGGGGGGGAGGUAGAAAAGGCAUUGAAAUAUCAAAGCUGAAAGCAUACCUGCGAUCUCUUUCUGCAACAGCAUGGUCAAUCAGGACAUUGUAAGCCAUAUCAAUGGUUGAUAGAUUGGCUAUAUAAUCCUGCCAGUAUAUGAUCACCUCAUUAAGAAAUGGCAUAUGUACGAAAUGACUUGACGUAUACCAAGUAAAAAGAAUACUAGUGAAUUAGAAAACUUUGUUUGUGUCCAACGCUUACAACACAGACAGCUGUAACAGACAAAGCAGAGAACCUAAAUAUGCUGGGCAGUGAUGGAUCAUAACGGAUAUACCAAACAAUUAAUAAAGCGAGCGACAAAGCAGCGAUACUAACAUAUGGUAAGAAGAAUGUAAUUAAGAAUGAGAAUUGAUAAAUAAAAUGUCCAAAUGCUGAUAAUCGUAACGUAUAAACUGCCUUUACCUUGCAUCUUCAUUAUCGUUUCACUGGAAGGAGAUGGUAAGGUUUAAUCCACCACCAAAAUAGGCCAUAACAGCCUGUUAGUAGCCUUAAAUAAACGACACGUGUUCCGUUCACGGAUCAUGCAGCCAUAAAUACAAGAAUUGGUCAAUGAGUACGCGACAAGUUCCGUAAUGACGCCCCCUGGGCAAGGAUUGUCUCUUAGCGCCACUGAAAUAAGCUGGGGUCACGUUUCAAAUUACUAGACCUAUAGAUGCAAAUUCUGCGUGUUGUUCGAUGGAUUUAUGCGGCGUAGCACUGGCAUCGCACACGGCAAAGCAAAUUGAGGAGCUCCAUAGGGCGCCGGUGACUCGGCGAUGUAUCUCAGGGCAGCAAACAGCGGCGAGCAUUGCCAAAUCAAACCAUUUGCAGCUUGCUUGACGUGAUCCGGAGCUAUGUAGGCGGGGCAUUGCAGGCGUGCGAGGGGCUAAAACGAAUGUUGACAGGAUUUAAAGGGAGACCGGGAGGGAGGGAGGGACUGACCCGUAGAGUCCGGGACGCCUCGGUGGCGGCGGAGGCGGCGGCGGCGGGCGGGCCGUGGGUGUGCGGCGCGGGCGGGGAGAGGCAGUCGGCGACGGCCCUGCGGAGCGGCUCGGGCGGCUUCCGCGCGGAGGUGACGCCGGAGAAGGACGGCGCGGUGGACAUGGACCGCGGCGGCCGCUGCGGGGGCACCACGGAAGCGGCGGCGGCCGCCAACGCCGCCGCCGACGACGACCCCGCCACCCCCGCGUCGUAGUAGUGGCGGCUGCUGCUGCUGCUGCCGGCGGCGGCAGCGGCGGCGGUGGCAGCGGCCCGCUUGGACGGCGCGUCGCGGCGCCGCAUCCUUCUGCGGAGGCCCGUGACAGCAGGUGGCGAGAUCUCCUCCGAUGGGUCUGGUGGCAAACCCUAGGCAGGCAGGGCAGGGCAGUCCUCGGCGUCGCCAGUCAGUCCGCGCGGAGGAGCAUUCGGGAGAGCCAGCCAGUCGUCUCUGGCCUCUCCUGCAGGGAUCAGGGUGCAGGGAUCGUUCCUUCUUCUCGGGUGGCUGGUCGUCUGGGGAAGAAGAAGAAGAAGGCCUCUCCUGCAGUCUGUGGGCUAGCUCCCUCCUAGCUGGUUGCCUGGUUUGCCAGAAUUUUAUUUAUGUUUGUGAAAACCAGCUCUAAAGAACAAAACAAGAAAAAAAUGGUUUUUAUCUUUAUCGAAAAUUGACGUAUUUUGUUUCGUUAGAACAAGCAUGUCUUAACAAAACAAAAGGAGGGAGCAGUAGUAUUAUACUCCUUCCUUCUAAAAAGGCUUUGACCAAUAAUAAUUCAUUAGUAUGUCAUCUGUAUGAUAAGAAACCACGUUUAUCAGGAAGAACUUGAUGACAAAUUUAAUGUGUUAAAAACACAUGUUGAUAAAAUAAUCCUUGGUCAAAACGUUUUUUUCCAAACGGAACCAAACAUCCAAACCUUUGUGAAAAGGAGAGAGUAUUAUCCAAAAUGAAAAUUUUCAGUUUCAGAUUCUUGCCCACUGAAAAUUUGCCCCACUUAACUUUUUUAUCCAUCUAUUGUUAUACAUACUUACCACAGUAUAUACCCAAGCCACUGAGAUGCUAUAUACUUUCCGUUGUUAAACACAUACACUAUAUGGUACUACAUGUUGUCAUUGUGUCCGUCAUGUUGUACGUACAUAGUGGUUUUAUUUAUCUCUCAUCAUGGUAGCAUUAGAGGUUUGUUCUUCCAUUUAAGAUUGAUAUCCGUUUUUUAUUUGAUUUCUAGUAGUUGCGAAAAUGUUCUAACGGGCCAGCCAUCCUAUAUAAUAUAGCCCGCUCGGCCCACGGACCUGCUUCCCAUCGAACCCGAGACGGCCCAUAACCCAAUAAACUAUCCUACCCGUGGUCGCAGUCUAUAGACAGCCUGCCCGACUCUGACGUCUGCUCCUCUUAUCCCGCUCUGGCCAAGGCCGUGCGAGCAGUGGCUGCCAAGGGCCUCUUCCUUGGGGCUCUGUGUUGCAUUCGUGGCUCCGUUUGCCAAUUAAGGAUACAUAUACUAGGUUUGUAGGAAUGCAAAACAUAUGAAUAGGAAAAAUCGUAUGAAUAGAAUAGAAAACCAUACGCAAAAGUGAGAAUUGAAAAACAGAAUCGGCGGCUCCAGAUGCUGUGAUCGCCGUCAGCCAGGGAGGCAACUCUGGAUGGACGUACGAGGAGAUGGCAUAUAUAUUCCGAUGCGGCGGAGACAGUGGACAUGAACUCCACAUCCCGCUGGCGACCAAGAUUUUGUUGGGAAUAUGCCCUAGAAGCAAUCAUGUAUGAUGUAAUUCCCAAUGUAUUCAUAAAUAUUAUUAAGUUGUCCUUGUUUGAACAUCUGAUAUGUAUCAUUGAAUAUGUGAUUUGAUUGUGGAACUAUGUAUUCAUGUUGUUCAUACUAAAUUGUCCUUAGUCAUUGAGGUUGUGCUGGACACAUAACCUAGACUAAUGUGAAAGUUGGCUGAUGACUCGGUUUCACUUGUCAUGGGCAUGGUGAUGUCAUUCCAGCUUACACGGACUCGGCUAAAGAGUUUAGCGAGUUGGACUGACCCAUAUUGAGAUGCAACGAGUAGGUCGUCAUUUGCAUGUCUCAAUCAAUGUAAUCCUUAGACCUGAGGUUAUCGCACAAUCCGAGUUGUGGAUCACCAACUUAGGUUCUGUCAAACGUUGUUCCGUAACAGGGCAGUUAUAAAGGCAGAGUUCGGGUUGACUGAGAAUCAAGCUGUGUGAUGUGGAUAACCAAGAUGGGAUUUUGCCCCUCCGACUGGAGAGAUAUUCUCUGGGCCCUCUCGAGUGAUAUGAUUCGGGAAGCAUGGCCAUGCGCGACUUGGUUAACUGUUAACCGGGUCGAUCGACUAAGAGUUAGUCGGAUGAAUCGUAUAUCACAGAUCGAGAAGAGAGUUGAACUAUUAAAGGGAUGACGAUUAAUCGCCUAUAGUUCGACAAGGUAUAUCGUGAGGCAAAAGGGACUAAGACGUAUGUCACAUUGGAAGGUACGUCGUCAUGACUCGAUGGUACUUGGGAGUCGGCACGUUCUGCUAGGAGCCGCUACCGAUUGAUCGAUUGUGAGUCAGACUCCAAUCGUGUCCAAGUCGCCAUGAGCCUGCGGGGUCACACACUUAAGAGCGGGAGCAAGUAUUUGGUCGGGUUGGACCCGAACUGGAAUUGGGCUGACAAUGCGAGUUGGACUCGCAGGGUGGAUGGGCCACAAGGCUUGGAGCCCACUUCCACUCGAUAUAUAAGCAGGGGCGUGGGAUGCCUAAGGGGCACGGUUUUUCCACUCUCAUGCGUUGAGAACCCUAGCCCGAUUCAGUUCAACCGUCGCACCGGACCUAGCAGUUCGCCGCCGGAGCUCCUCCUCGCACGUGUGGAUACCGGCAGAGGUGUUGUACGUUCAGCACUUCGACGAUCGCGGGAUUGGAUCGGCUGGAUCGGAUCGAGGGACUGCACUGCAUCAAGGCGCCGCAUCAAUAAUCUGCAACUGCGCGUCUAGUGGUAAUCCUCGUGGCCUUCUACCUCGGCUAGAUCUUGGGAGUUCGCGUAGGAAAAGUUUUUUGUUUAUCUCUACGCGCCCGUUCAGAUUUCUGUAGCGCUCUCCCUCCCUCUCCAUUCUCCUCCUGAUUCCUCUGUUGAAUCCCUCCGUCCCCUUGACAUUCCUCUUACCAAUCACUAAGAUCGUUUCUGCGUACCGAUUUGUCUGUGCGUCUUUUUUUUCCAAUCCUGCAUGCUUGCUUGCUUAAGUUUCGCGUGACUUCUUGUUUGCAGUUGACAGUUUGCCGUGUCAUGGGUUAAUGUUGCUGCUGUUUGAGACGCCCUCUGGCUUCGCACUUUACACGUUUUAUGGGGCUUCCUAUAUAUGGCUUUGGAUGUAAUGUUCUUCUUUCUAACCUUUGUCAACCAUGUCCUUGCUUGUUCAUGUGGUCUACGCCAAUGACCUAAUUUUCUAUUCCAUCAUUUGUCUCCUACAGAAUCUCUGGUUAGGUUUUGGAGACCCCCACCUGGCAAGGAUGGUUAGUUCCAACGACUUUCCUUGCUUUCCCUUCUGAUUGCUAUUGUUAUCUUAUAUGCUUGUUGUUAAAUUCCAUCUUUGCAUUAAGGGAGAAUAUGAACUCGUGCUCUUUGUUUACUAAUAGCCUCAAAACACAUUUUCUCCCCAAUUCUAAGCAUGCAGCAUGAUGCUAGUUUCGCUGAAAGGUUCAAGGAUUCUAAAUAAUCAAUCAAUGCAAUCCAGAGACGUGCAUGAUAAUUAAUUCCUUAAAUGUUUCUUUGUGCCCAUGAACAUGCUUGCUGCUAUUUCUUUAUCAGGCGGUUCAUCCGAAGGGAUUUCUAUCUUUUGAGGACAAAUCCAGCGCCAUCAAUGCUGAUACUGGUCUUGACAACCAGCUUGUUGCUCUGAUCAACGACUAAAGAGGACCGCUUACCAACGAGUCAAGGACUAAUGAAGUUCCUGAGUAAUCGUGGAUUUGAUGUCAAACUAGAGAUGGUGAGUUCACUAGUUGGACUUGACAUGCUUUCUGAUUUAUAGUUCCCUGCUAUUUAGUAUUAGUUUAUGUUGACAAAUUAGGUAAUUUCGAUGAAUAUUUAAUCCAGAAGGACAGUGUGUAAAACAUGUAGCACAUUAUAUCAUGCAAACUAGACAAAUUAAAUAGCAACACACAGCAAUAAAACUCAUCUAAUUUCACGGCAUGAAUAAUAGAACUACUAAUCAAAAUCAACAAGAAAGAGCAGAUUACGUACGGUGCUGUGCUCUUUUCUUGUGUUUGUUUGUUGAGGUCGGUGACGAGUCCGGUGGCGUCGAUGUUCAUGCCGGCAGCAGCAGCAGCCUUGACUACCUCCUGAGCAACGGCCAGUGCCUGCGCUUGCGCCUGUGCAGCAGUUGCCUGGGCUUGAAGUUGGGCAGCCUGCUGCUGUGCUUGGAGUUGUGCAGCCUGCUGCUGCUGAGCUAGAGCGGCAGCCUGAGCCGCGGGAUCUCCGAGGUCGUCGGCCAUUGGUGAUGAAGAUGCCGAUGAAACAGAAACGUGAAGAAGCGAGCAGUCCCGUGAGAACGCUCCCCAAAAACCUUAUCGACCGUCUCCCGGGCAGGAUCUCGAAGGUCGGGGUUCCGGAGGCCUGCUCUCCCGGCGAUCUGUGCACGCAGUCGACGGGAUGGAGUAGCAGUUGGCGGCGAACAACGAGAUUGGAUCGUGGGCGUGACGGCUAGGGGUUUUUUUGCGUCGUUUUUCCGGAGGCCGGGGUAGUCUUAUUAUAUAGGCAUGCAGGCGGACUUCGGUUCGGUUUAGGAAACCAAAACCGACUCCGCAAUUAUCGGGAUUUGUUACGCGUCCGCAACGGAUUCCGACUGCCAAAAAGAUAAGCACGACCCGGGACGGCUCGGGCUCGGGCUCGAUCCACGAAACGCGGCGCGCGCGCGUCGUGACGAGGCGAGGCGAGCGGAGGAGGAGGAGCGCGCGUAGGGAUUUCCCUUGCUCACUUGCUCAAGAGGUGAGAACCAACAUACCUUAUAUAUUGGUCCAACUCCCCCUAAACUAGCAAUGUGGGACUAUUCCCACUUCCUCAUCCCACUACAUGAAUGGGCUUUUGAGAUUUUUCAGAAAUUAAUUUCAGAUUGGUCCUUGGGCCUAACCCAAAAUUCCAAUAAUCCCCCACAAUAUCUCAUAAGCACAUAAAAUUGCCGUUGAUCCAAAACUCUGUUUUUGAUAUACCAGCGUUUCAGUGGAGACCGGUUAAGGUUGAACAUCUACCUAAACAAAUUGCUUCACUCACGCACAACUGAACAAUGGACAAACCUUGAAUUUUCAGUUUUCUAUGUUAGAGCUUCACUAAAUUGUUGUCUGGUACUGGGCUGCCGAAUGCUACCCCGCAGUGUGGAGCAUACAAGUCAUUCUCCAGGCCUUUUCAUGAGCUUACUAGAGACCACCCAAAUCUCAUAGACUGCGACCAACAGUCAGGCUCAUAUAGGUGUGUUAUUUAGAGACUACUCUGUAGGAUAGUAUCUCCCUUGCAAAUUAAUGCAACGCGUUAGAACACAUUAAGUUAAACAACCUACCAUACAGUACACGAGAGUAAUGCAUCGUCAACGAAGUGGGAUAAAGAAUGUACACUCUCCUCAGUUAUCCAAUGACUUGUUUCCCAGGUCCUAAUUCACGGGAUCUCCGAUCACAUAGGUUGGUUUACCGCCAUGGUAACUCACGUGGGUCGCAAUCCCAUCUCCCUUGAUGCAGAUUCUAUCACAUUUCUUGAUAGACCCUUUGUAAAGGGAUCUGCCAGAUUUUUAGCCGUUGGGAUAUAUCCCAAUGCUAUUAUUCCGGAGUUUCUCAUUGCUCUGACAGAUUUCAGACGUCUCCUGACGUGUCUUGAUGACUUCAUAUUAUCUUUAGAACUGUUCACUUUGACUAUCACAGUUUGAUUGUCACAGUUCAUAAGAAUCGCCGGUAUUGGUUUUUCAACAAUCGGCAAGUCCAUCAAGAGCUCACGAAGCCAGUCGGCUUCAACUGUGGAUGUAUCUAAUGCUGAAAGUUCUGCUUCCAUUGUUGAUCUGGUUAAGAUCGUUUGCUUGCAAGACUUCCAUGAAACAGCGCCCCCUCCGAGUGUGAACACAUAUCCACUCGUGGCCUUUAGCUCGUCAACAUCAGAUAUCCAGUUUGAAUCACUAUAACCCUCAAGUACCUUGGGGUACCCAGUAUAGUAUAUACCAUAGCCCAUUGUGCCCUUUACAUAGCGCAUGACCCUCUCGAGUGUUGGGUUCGUUGCAUAGGAAACAAAAAAUUUCCUACGAGAAGUGCGGAAGAAAACCCAAGAAUAUAUAUACUAGAUGUAUGCAACGAGAGGGAUCAUGAACACCAUACCCUCGUAGACCGCUAAGCGUUACGAUCACGAGAUCGUUGUUGGUGUAGUGGAACUUUCAAUGAGAUUAAUCUCAGUGCCGAACGGACAGCACCUCCUUGGUAUCCACACGUUCAGCUUCACGUCGUCUCUUCCUUUCCUUGAUCGAGCAAGCGAGAGGGAGAGGUAGAUGAGAUCCCGGCAGCACGACGGCGUGGUGACUAUGGUGAAUAUCCCCACGGGCCGUGCACGUGAGAAGAGGAGGAGAGGAGGGCUCAGGGGAGAGAGAUCCAACUGAACGCUUGGUGUAUGCUCCCCCUUGCCACCCCCCCUCUAUUUAUAUAGGGGUAGGGGAGGGGGUGGCCGGCCAGAUCUGCCCCCCUUUCCAAAAGGGGGCUGGCGGCUAGGGGAGGGAAACCCUAAUAGGGUUUCCUCCCCCCCCAAGUUACCCUUUAGCCCUAGGGUGGGCUGGCCGCAUGGGCCUUGUGGGGGGCAGCCCCCUGGCCCAUUAAGGCCAGGGUACUCCCUCACAAGCCCAUGUAGCCCAGGGAUAGGUGGGCCUCAAGGUGGAAACCCCCGGAUCCCUCCGGAACCUUCUAGAAGCUUCCCGGUCAAAAACCGGAAAAUAUUCCGAACUUUCCGGAACCUGAAAACAACUUUCCAUAUAUAAAUCUUUAUCUCCGGAACAUUCUGGAGCUCCUCGUUACGUCUUGGAUCCCAUCCAAGACUCCGAAUCAUAAUUCGAUAUCAUCAUCAUUUAUCUCAUCUAACCCAAGCAACAUGAAACGUUAAGUGUGUGACCCUACGGGUUCGAGAACAUGUGGACAUGAUCAAAUAUCAAUAACCAAUAGUGGGACCUGGAUGUCCAUAAUGGUUCCCACAUAUUCCACGAAGAUCUCAUCGGUUGAACCACUAUGUCGAGGAUUCAAUUAAUCCAGUAUCCAAUUCUCUUUGUCUCGCGAUAUAUUACUUGCCCGAGAUUUGAUCGUCGGUAUCGCCAUACCUAGUUUAAUCUCGUUACCGGCAAGUUCUCUUUACUCAUUCCGUAAUAUAAUACCCCCGCGACUAAACAUAUUAGUCGCAUGCUUGCAAGCUCAUUAGGAUGUUAUAUUACCGAGAGGGCCCAAAGAUAUCUCUCCGUCACAAGGAGUGACAAAUCCCAGUCUUGAUCCAUACAACCCAACAAGCACCUUCUGAGAUAUCUGAAAAACACCUUUAUGAUCACCCAGUUACGAGAUGACAGUUGAUGCCCACAAAGUAUUCUUCCGGUACUAGGGAGUGGCAUGAUCUCAUGGUCUAAGGAAAUGAUACUUGACAUAAUAAAACAUAAGCAAUUUAAACUUAAGUGACACGAUCAAAAGCUAUGUUUAGCUUUGGGUCUGUCCAUCACAUCAUUCUCCUAAUGAUAUGACCUCGUUAUUAAAUGACAACACAUGUCUAUGGUUAGGAAACCUUAACCAUCUUUAAUCAACGAGCUAAUCUAGUAGAGGCGUAUUAGGGACACGGUAUUUGUUUAUUUAUCCACACACAUGUAUUUGAGUUUCCAAUCAAUACAAUUAUAGCAUGGACAAUAAACAUUUAUCAAGAACAAUGAAAUAUGAUAAUAACAAAUUUAUUAUUGCCUCUAGGGCAUAUUUCCAACAUCGAGUGCAUUCCCAUGAUCAUCUUCCGGAUUCUUAUUGAACCGACUCAGUUUGCUCACAGCAAAAGAGAUGUCAGGUCUAGUUGCGGUAGCCAAAUACAUGAGUGAACCAAUAACCUGAGAAUAUCUCAGUUGGUCUCUUCCAAUUCUGUGAUUUUUUCGAAGCAGAACGCUUGGAUCAUAAGGAGUUGGAGAAGGUUUACAAUCAGCAUAUCCGAAACGACUCAAGAUCUUCUCUACAUAGUGAGAUUGCACCAAAGUGAUCUCACCAUUGUCGCCUCUCACGAGCUUGAUGUUCAGAAUAACAUCAGAUACACCAAGGUCUUUCAUGUCAAAGCACUUCGACAAGAAAGUCUUAACCUCUUCAAUCACUUUGAGGUUAGUCUCAAAUAUUAGUACGUCAUCGACAUACAAGCAAAGUAAAACUCCCCCACCCCCACCAUGGCGGUAGUAUACACAUUUGUCAGCUUCGUUUACAACAAAGCCGUCAGAUGUUAAAGUUUUGUCAAACUUCUCAUGCCAUUGCUUAGGAGCUUGUUUCAGGCCAUAUAGAGACUUUAAUAACUUACACAAUUUGCCUUCAUGACCCUUUAUUACAAAUCCAUCUGGCUGGUUCAUGUAAAUUUCCUCGUCCAACUCUCCGUUAAGGAAAGCUGUCUUAACGUCCAUUUGAUGGACGAUCAGACCAUAUGAGGCAGCCAGUGAUAGUAAUACUCUGAUUGUGGUCAAUCGAGCUACAGGUGAGUAAGUAUCAAAGAAAUCUUCACCUUCUUUCUGGGUAAAACCCUUGGCCACAAGUCGCGCCUUGUACUUCUCAAUAGUACCAUCAGGCCUAAGCUUUUUCUUGAAUAUCCACUUGCAUCCUACAGGUUUGCACCCGUACGGACGGUCAACGACCUCCCACGUACCAUUAGCCAUGAUAGAAUCCAUUUCACUACGAAUGGCUUCCUUCCAAUAGUCUGCAUCCGGAGAUGCAAAGGCCUCAUCAAUGGUUUUAGGGGUGUCAUCUACAAGGUACACAAUGAAAUCAUCACCAAAGGAUUUAAUAAUCCUUUGUCGCUUACCCCUAAGAGGGGCUUCAUUGUCAUACUCCUCAGGAAUCUCAUCGCGUGUUUGUUCAAGAUUUUCCACUGGGAUGGCGGGUUCAGGAGCUACACCAUGAUCCUGAUGUUCCUCUGAACUGACGGGUUCAGCAGGUACAUCAUGAUCCUCUCUAGAUGUGCUAUGCAUAUCUCUCAUGGGAAAUAUGUCCUCAAAAAAUGUAGCAUCCCUGGACUCCAUAAUUGUACAGACGCUCAUGUCAGGUACUCCAGAAUUUACAACCAAGAAUCUAUAGCCGACACUUCGAAAUGCGUAGCCAAGAAAGACACAAUCAACCGUUUUUGGUCCAAGCUUACGUUUCUUGGUGAUUAGCACAUUGACUUUCGCCAAACAGCCCCAAGUCCGUAAGUAAGAAAGUGUGAGUCUCUUCUUUUUCCAUAGCUCGUAUGGGGUGACUUCUUUAUCUUUUGUAGGAACACGAUUUAGGACAUGACACGAAGUCAAUAGCGCCUCCCCCCACCAUGCCUUGGAUAAACCAGCAGUGUCUAACAUGGCGUUGACCAAGUCAGUCAGCGUGCGGUUUUUCCUCUCAGCAACCCCGUUUGACUGGGGCGAAUAGGGAGGCGUCCUCUCAUGGACUAUGCCAUGUUCCUCACAAAAUGAAUUAAACUCACUGGAGAAGUAUUCUCCACCGCGGUCAGACCGCAAACGUUUAAUUUUUUUCUCAACUUGAUUCUCUACUUCAGCUUUAUAGAUCUUAAAAUAAUGCAAUGCUUCAUCGUUUGAUUUUAAUAAAUACACAUAACAGAAUCUAGUCGCAUCAUCAAUGAAAGACAUAAAGUAACGCUUUCCACCUUUGGUUAAUAUACCGUUCAUCUCACAAAGAUCAGAAUGUAUAAGCUCUAACGGUGCUAGGUUCCUUUCCUCAGCAGCCUUGUGAGGCUUGCGAGGCUGCUUCGCUUGCACACAAUCUUGGCACUUCGAACUUUUAGCCACAGUGAUUUUAGGAAUUAAACUCAGAUUUGCUAAUCGCGUCAUGCAACCAAAAUUAAUGUGACAAAGUCGUGAAUGCCAAACAUUAGACUCAUUAUUAAUAGAAUUGACGCUGUUCACGACCUUAUUACAAAAAUCCGAAAGGGAUAAACGGAACAAACCUCCGCACUCAUAACCUUUACCAAUAAAUUGUCCAUACUUAGACACGAUAACUUUAUUGGACUCAAACACUAACUUAAAUCCGUCCUUGCAAAGGAGGGAUCCACUAACAAGAUUCUUCUGAAUGGAGGGCAUAUGCUGCACGUUCCUCAGCUGCACGAUCUUUCCCGAAGUAAACUUCAGAUCCACCGUGCCAACACCAUGAACAGAAGCAUGGGCGCCGUUCCCCAUCAUCACUGAGGAGCUGAUGGCCUGAUAUGAAGAAAACAAGGAAAUAUCAGCACAAACAUGAAUAGUUGCGCCUGUAUCGACCCACCAAUCGAUGGACUGACAUACAGAAAAUAUAGUAAAUAAAUUACCAUACCUGCCUGCAUCUUCAUUGUUGCCAAUGGUCAAAUUAGCAAACUUUUGCCGAAUCUGUCCUCUUUUGCGCUCCUUGCAGUUACUCGCCCAAUGGCCAAGUCCUCCACACACAAAGCAAGGAUCCUUGUCCUUGUUGCCUCCUUUCUUCUUCUUCUUGAAAGUGGUAGUGUUCUUUGGACCAGCAUUAUUGAAUGCCUUUCCCUUUCCCUUGUUGUUACUGUUGUUGUGGUUGUUCCUCUGAACCAUGUUGGCAGUGGACGUACCCUCUUGUGUGUUGCCUUUGGGGCCAGCAUCUUUUGCUCUCGCCUUCUCCUCAACAUCAAGAGUCCCAAUCAGGUUCUCCACAGAGAUUUCUUGUCUCUUGUGUUUUAGUGAAGUAGCAAAGUUCCUCCACGAGGGAGGAAGCUUGGCGAUGAUGCCCCCGGCGACAAACUUGUCGGGUAGUGGACACUUGAAUUGCUCAAGUUCCUUAGCCAUAGUCAAUAACUCAUGAGCUUGUUCCACUACAGAUCGGUUUGCAACCAUCUUAUAGUCAAAGAACUGCUCCAUGACGUACAGCUCACUGCCAGCGUCAGAUGCGCCAAACUUGGCAUCGAGCGCAUCCCACAACUCUUUGGCAUCCUGAUAGUGCAGAUAAGCAUCAACGAGCUUAUCUCCCAGCACACUACAGAUCGCACCGACGACUACAACACAAGCCUCAACAUACAACUGCUGAGAAGCAAUUGUUUGAGUCUUCCUGUGUUGUACCGCCCACCAUGCGCCCAUAGCCACGAGCCACAUAUGACAUUUAUACUGCCACCUCUUAAAGUGCAGUCCAGUAAACACAGGUGGUUUCAAUGCGACAGCAAAUUGAGACAUCGAAAAUUGCCUACACGCAUAAGGUUUUUGGAUUGUUGACAAAUUAGGUAAUUUCGAUGAAUAUUUAAUCCAGAAGGACAGUGUGUAAAACAUGUAGCACAUUAUAUCAUGCAAACUAGACAAAUUAAAUAGCAACACACAGCAAUAAAACUCAUCUAAUUUCACGGCAUGAAUAAUAGAACUACUAAUCAAAAUCAACAAGAAAGAGCAGAUUACGUACGGUGCUGUGCUCUUUUCUUGUGUUUGUUUGUUGAGGUCGGUGACGAGUCCGGUGGCGUCGAUGUUCACGCCGGCAGCAGCAGCAGCCUUGACUACCUCCUGAGCAGCGGGCAGUGUAUUUAGGAAACCAACAAUUAUCGGGAUUUGAGAUAAGCACGACCCAGCUCGGGCUCGGGCUCGAUCCACGAAACGCGCGCGUCGUGACGAGGCGAGCGGAGGAGGAGGAGGAGCGCGCGUAGGGAUUUUCCUUGCUCACUUGCUCAAGAGGUGAGAACCAACAUACCUUAUAUAUUGGUCCAACUCCCCCUAAACUAGCAAUGUGGGAUUAUUCCUACUUCCUCAUCCCACUACAUGAAUGGGCUUUUGAGAUUUUUCAGGAAUUAAUUUCAGAUUGCGCCUUGGGCCUAACCCAAAAUUCCAACAGUUUAUACGUAGCUUGUGUGCUCUGGACUUGGAAACCUUUAUCUCACGGACCAAUGUUUGGGAUUCAAGCUUUCAUAGAAAGACUUGCUUUUAAAUUUUCUUUAGCUAUGAAGCAUUGCCUUCUGU